rfam:Candidate divison MSBL1 archaeon SCGC-AAA261C02 AAA261C02_Contig_9, whole genome shotgun sequence.
GCCGGGGUGGCAGAACCAGGUUAAUGCGCCGGCUUUGAGAGCCGGUGGCCCAGUGGGCCAUCUGGGUUCAAAUCCCAGCCCCGGCG